rnacentral:misc_RNA from 1 species
AAUAAGUGUUUAAUGGCACUUUCAAUCCAUUACCCACCUUGUGUGCAUUGUCGGGAGGACUCUAACAAUCUUUCUUUCGAGGAGGACGAAGAGGGUUCUCUUUUUACACAUACUCUGUUCUUCAGUAUCAGUCUACCUUUUAGAGUAUAAAACUCGAAUACAACUUUCAACAACGGAUCUCUUGGCUCU